GACGAACGCUGGCGGCGUGCUUAACACAUGCAAGUCGAACGGUAAGGCCCUUCGGGGUACACGAGUGGCGAACGGGUGAGUAACACGUGGGUGAUCUGCCCUGCACUUCGGGAUAAGCCUGGGAAACUGGGUCUAAUACCGGAUAGGACCACUGCCUGCAUGGGUGGUGGUGGAAAGCUUUUGCGGUGUGGGAUGGGCCCGCGGCCUAUCGGCUUGUUGGUGGGGUGAUGGCCUACCAAGGCGACGACGGGUAGCCGGCCUGAGAGGGUGACCGGCCACACUGGGACUGAGAUACGGCCCAGACUCCUACGGGAGGCAGCAGUGGGGAAUAUUGCACAAUGGGCGCAAGCCUGAUGCAGCGACGCCGCGUGAGGGAUGACGGCCUUCGGGUUGUAAACCUCUUUCAGCACCGACGAAGCGCAAGUGACGGUAGGUGCAGAAUAAGUCACUGCUAACUUCGUGCCAGCAGCCGCCGUAA
rnacentral:rRNA from 1 species